rnacentral:lncRNA from 1 species
AACGUCACCGUAUACGACUUCUUCUCGUAUGCUUUUGUGAAAGUUAAUGUAUCGGGUUCCACCGUAAUCUUAACUGCUGGACUUGUCGUCGAGAUUGAAACCUUGUACGUACUUCCUCCGGAGCCUCCCCCAACGUUGGUAAGCGUCCUCGUGUGCUUAACUACGCUCUUGCUCCCGCCGCCGCUGCUGGAACCACCGCCACCCCCAAUCACUUGAGUCUGCAGCGACACCGAAAAUGAAGGGUAGUUGAAAUCCCCGAUGCUGUAGGUUUUACCGGCACCACAGCUGUAAUUCCGCCUGGCGACGCCUUGAAUUUGCAUGGACGUGUAAUUUAAUGCGCAUAGGAAAUUGAGAUAAUCCUCGGUGGUCAGAUCAUAGACGAGUCCCGGGUUGAGGGCUGCGACGGGGUUCACAUGCCCUGCUCCAUGAUCGUACGGUGUCGAUGCCUUUCCGGUGGAGACAUCUAUCAGCUUCUUACCGCCGUUUUUGUAAGCGGUGUAGGCCGUGGUCAUGAGAGCCGAGCGGAUGGCGGCUGGGCUCCAGUCUGGGUGCGCCCCCUUGACAAACGCCGCCAAGCCGCUCACGUGUGGGCACGACAUUGAGGUGCCGGAGAUUAUGUUGAACUCCACGCGCCUCGGGUCCUCUGCCAAUCCGGUGGGGCCCACCGCCCCGGUCCACCCUGCUAUUAUAUUCACACCUGGAGCUAUCAGGUCCGGCUUCAAGAUAUCAGGGGUGAUUGCAUUUGGUCCCCUCGAGCUAAAUGCAGCUACCACCGGCGACGGUUCGAUCCCCACCUUUGUGCCCUCAAAAAGAAUCGUCGCCGUUGGAUUAGCAUCCGACAAUACAUAAUCUCUAAUCGCGUCUCCUGAUUUCUGACCCACUGUGCUGGCCGGGAGCAAAUGGGCAUCCGCCACCAGCUCCUCACCGUUGGCGGCGGUAUUGGCCAAAACCAUCCCGGCCCCACCAGCUCCUUUCACCACAGCGCCCUUUUGGACCCUAGGAUUGAUCCCACGGUCGCACAGGACAAUUUUACCCUUAACUUUCUCAGGGAUUAACGUGCCGGUCAUGCAGAGAUUCCCAUUGGUGGAAUUGCUAGCGUUCCCUGCAUAGACAAAAGGCAGCAGCUUAGCGGGCAACGAGUCACCUUUGUAAAGCGAAACUCCAGAGAAAUUCUGGCCGUUGCCCAGGCUGACAUACGCCGGGAAGUCUCGGUCCAAAGUUCCGGCACCUACGGUGGUAAUCCAGGGUGCCAAGUUGGACAGAGUAUAAGCACUGGGUCCCGCAUUUCCAGCUGAACAGGACACGAAAAUUCCCUUCUCCAUUGCUGAAAAUGCUCCAAUAGCAACACUGUCUCUGUAGUAGUCGGCGGUGCCGCCGCCCAGAGACAAAGACAAGAUAUUUACAUUGUCUGCGAUGGCCCCGUCUAUGGCGGCCAAUAUAUCCGAGCUAAAGCAGCCCCCAAUCCAGCAAACUUUGUAUACAGCAACUCUGGCACGAUGGGCCAUCCCACGAGCCGAACCGGAUGCAUACCCGAAAAGGCUAGCUCCGCCUACGAUUGCUCCAGCAGCCGUGGUGGACGUGUGGGUGCCGUGGCCGUCGUCGUCUCUAGGAGAUUUUGAUUCUUUCGUAACAUCAAUUGGGCCGAGAGUCGCCUCAUAGCCGGUUG